GGUGAACGCUGGCGGUAGGCCUAACACAUGCAAGUCGAACGGCAGCACAGGAGAGCUUGCUCUCUGGGUGGCGAGUGGCGGACGGGUGAGGAAUACAUCGGAAUCUGCCCAGUCGUGGGGGAUAACGUAGGGAAACUUACGCUAAUACCGCAUACGACCUUCGGGUGAAAGAGGGGGAUCGCAAGACCUCUCGCGAUUGGAUGAGCCGAUGUCGGACUAGCUAGUUGGCGGGGUAAUGGCCCACCAAGGCGACGAUCCGUAGCUGGUCUGAGAGGAUGAUCAGCCACACUGGAACUGAGACACGGUCCAGACUCCUACGGGAGGCAGCAGUGGGGAAUAUUGGACAAUGGGCGCAAGCCUGAUCCAGCCAUACCGCGUGGGUGAAGAAGGCCUUCGGGUUGUAAAGCCCUUUUGUUGGGAAAGAAAUCUUUCAGGCUAAUACCCUGGGAGGAUGACGGUACCCAAAGAAUAAGCACCGGCUAACUUCGUG
rnacentral:rRNA from 1 species